rnacentral:rRNA from 1 species
GGGUUGUGAGGUUAAGCGACUAAGCGUACACGGUGGAUGCCCUGGCAGUCAGAGGCGAUGAAGGACGUGCUAAUCUGCGAUAAGCGUCGGUAAGGUGAUAUGAACCGUUAUAACCGGCGAUUUCCGAAUGGGGAAACCCAGUGUGUUUCGACACACUAUCAUUAACUGAAUCCAUAGGUUAAUGAGGCGAACCGGGGGAACUGAAACAUCUAAGUACCCCGAGGAAAAGAAAUCAACCGAGAUUCCCCCAGUAGCGGCGAGCGAACGGGGAGCAGCCCAGAGCCUGAAUCAGUGUGUGUGUUAGUGGAAGCGUCUGGAAAGGCGCGCGAUACAGGGUGACAGCCCCGUACACAAAAAUGCACAUGCUGUGAGCUCGAUGAGUAGGGCGGGACACGUGGUAUCCUGUCUGAAUAUGGGGGGACCAUCCUCCAAGGCUAAAUACUCCUGACUGACCGAUAGUGAACCAGUACCGUGAGGGAAAGGCGAAAAGAACCCCGGCGAGGGGAGUGAAAAAGAACCUGAAACCGUGUACGUACAAGCAGUGGGAGCACGCUUCGGCGUGUGACUGCGUACCUUUUGUAUAAUGGGUCAGCGACUUAUAUUCUGUAGCAAGGUUAACCGAAUAGGGGAGCCGAAGGGAAACCGAGUCUUAACUGGGCGUUAAGUUGCAGGGUAUAGACCCGAAACCCGGUGAUCUAGCCAUGGGCAGGUUGAAGGUUGGGUAACACUAACUGGAGGACCGAACCGACUAAUGUUGAAAAAUUAGCGGAUGACUUGUGGCUGGGGGUGAAAGGCCAAUCAAACCGGGAGAUAGCUGGUUCUCCCCGAAAGCUAUUUAGGUAGCGCCUCGUGAAUUCAUCUCCGGGGGUAGAGCACUGUUUCGGCAAGGGGGUCAUCCCGACUUACCAACCCGAUGCAAACUGCGAAUACCGGAGAAUGUUAUCACGGGAGACACACGGCGGGUGCUAACGUCCGUCGUGAAGAGGGAAACAACCCAGACCGCCAGCUAAGGUCCCAAAGUCAUGGUUAAGUGGGAAACGAUGUGGGAAGGCCCAGACAGCCAGGAUGUUGGCUUAGAAGCAGCCAUCAUUUAAAGAAAGCGUAAUAGCUCACUGGUCGAGUCGGCCUGCGCGGAAGAUGUAACGGGGCUAAACCAUGCACCGAAGCUGCGGCAGCGACACUAUGUGUUGUUGGGUAGGGGAGCGUUCUGUAAGCCUGUGAAGGUGUGCUGUGAGGCAUGCUGGAGGUAUCAGAAGUGCGAAUGCUGACAUAAGUAACGAUAAAGCGGGUGAAAAGCCCGCUCGCCGGAAGACCAAGGGUUCCUGUCCAACGUUAAUCGGGGCAGGGUGAGUCGACCCCUAAGGCGAGGCCGAAAGGCGUAGUCGAUGGGAAACAGGUUAAUAUUCCUGUACUUGGUGUUACUGCGAAGGGGGGACGGAGAAGGCUAUGUUGGCCGGGCGACGGUUGUCCCGGUUUAAGCGUGUAGGCUGGUUUUCCAGGCAAAUCCGGAAAAUCAAGGCUGAGGCGUGAUGACGAGGCACUACGGUGCUGAAGCAACAAAUGCCCUGCUUCCAGGAAAAGCCUCUAAGCAUCAGGUAACAUCAAAUCGUACCCCAAACCGACACAGGUGGUCAGGUAGAGAAUACCAAGGCGCUUGAGAGAACUCGGGUGAAGGAACUAGGCAAAAUGGUGCCGUAACUUCGGGAGAAGGCACGCUGAUAUGUAGGUGAAGUCCCUCGCGGAUGGAGCUGAAAUCAGUCGAAGAUACCAGCUGGCUGCAACUGUUUAUUAAAAACACAGCACUGUGCAAACACGAAAGUGGACGUAUACGGUGUGACGCCUGCCCGGUGCCGGAAGGUUAAUUGAUGGGGUCAGCGCAAGCGAAGCUCUUGAUCGAAGCCCCGGUAAACGGCGGCCGUAACUAUAACGGUCCUAAGGUAGCGAAAUUCCUUGUCGGGUAAGUUCCGACCUGCACGAAUGGCGUAAUGAUGGCCAGGCUGUCUCCACCCGAGACUCAGUGAAAUUGAACUCGCUGUGAAGAUGCAGUGUACCCGCGGCAAGACGGAAAGACCCCGUGAACCUUUACUAUAGCUUGACACUGAACAUUGAGCCUUGAUGUGUAGGAUAGGUGGGAGGCUUAGAAGUGUGGACGCCAGUCUGCAUGGAGCCGACCUUGAAAUACCACCCUUUAAUGUUUGAUGUUCUAACGUGGACCCGUGAUCCGGGUUGCGGACAGUGUCUGGUGGGUAGUUUGACUGGGGCGGUCUCCUCCUAAAGAGUAACGGAGGAGCACGAAGGUUGGCUAAUCCUGGUCGGACAUCAGGAGGUUAGUGCAAUGGCAUAAGCCAGCUUGACUGCGAGCGUGACGGCGCGAGCAGGUGCGAAAGCAGGUCAUAGUGAUCCGGUGGUUCUGAAUGGAAGGGCCAUCGCUCAACGGAUAAAAGGUACUCCGGGGAUAACAGGCUGAUACCGCCCAAGAGUUCAUAUCGACGGCGGUGUUUGGCACCUCGAUGUCGGCUCAUCACAUCCUGGGGCUGAAGUAGGUCCCAAGGGUAUGGCUGUUCGCCAUUUAAAGUGGUACGCGAGCUGGGUUUAGAACGUCGUGAGACAGUUCGGUCCCUAUCUGCCGUGGGCGCUGGAGAACUGAGGGGGGCUGCUCCUAGUACGAGAGGACCGGAGUGGACGCAUCACUGGUGUUCGGGUUGUCAUGCCAAUGGCACUGCCCGGUAGCUAAAUGCGGAAGAGAUAAGUGCUGAAAGCAUCUAAGCACGAAACUUGCCCCGAGAUGAGUUCUCCCUGACUCCUUGAGAGUCCUGAAGGAACGUUGAAGACGACGACGUUGAUAGGCCGGGUGUGUAAGCGCAGCGAUGCGUUGAGCUAACCGGUACUAAUGAACCGUGAGGCUUAACCUUACAACGCCGAAG